rnacentral:rRNA from 1 species
UCCGGUUGAUCCUGCCGGAGGUCACUGCUAUUGGGAUUCGACUAAGCCAUGCGAGUCGAGAGGGUUCGGCCCUCGGCUGACUGCUCAGUAACACGUGGAUAAUCUGCCCUAUGGUGGAGGAUAACCUCGGGAAACUGAGAAUAAUACUCCAUAGGUCUAGGAUACUGGAAUGCACCUAGACUCAAAACUCCGGUGCCAUAGGAUGAGUCUGCGGACUAUCAGGUUGUAGUCAGGGUAAAGACCUGACUAGCCUACGACGGAUAUGGGUUGUGAGAGCAAUAACCCAGAGAUGAUAUCUGAGGCACGAUAUCAGGCCCUACGGGGCGCAGCAGGCGCGAAAACUUCACAAUGUGCGAAAGCGCGAUGAGGGAAUCCCAAGUGCUUGCACGUAAGUGUAAGCUGUUUUUAUGUUUAAAACGCAUGGAGAGUAAGAGCUGGGUAAGACGGGUGCCAGCCGCCGCGGUAAUACCUGCAGCUCAAGUGGUGGCCGCUAUUAUUGGGCCUAAAACGUCCGUAGCCUGUUUAAUAAAUGCCUGGGUAAAUCGUGUAGCUUAACUAUACGAAUUCCGGGUAGACUGUUAAACUUGAGACCGGGAGAAGUUAGAGGUACUCCUGGGGUAGAGGUGAAAUUCUGUAAUCCUAGGGGGACCACCAGUGGCGAAGGCGUCUGACUAGAACGGGUCUGACGGUGAGGGACGAAGCCCUGGGGCGCAAACCGGAUUAGAUACCCGGGUAGUCCAGGGUGUAAACGCUGCUUGCUUGAUGUUAGUCGGGCUCCGAGCCCGAUUAGUGUCGGAGAGAAGUUGUUAAGCAAGCUGCCUGGGAAGUACGGUCGCAAGGCUGAAACUUAAAGGAAUUGGCGGGGGAGCACAGCAACGGGUGGAGCGUGCGG